rnacentral:rRNA from 1 species
UACGUAGGGGGCAAGCGUUAUCCGGAAUUACUGGGUGUAAAGGGAGCGUAGACGGUAAUGUAAGUCUGGAGUGAAAGGCGGGGGCCCAACCCCCGGACUGCUCUGGAAACUAUGUUACUGGAGUGCAGGAGAGGUAAGCGGAAUUCCUAGUGUAGCGGUGAAAUGCGUAGAUAUAUGGAAGAACACCAGUGGCGAAAGCGGCUCUCUGGUCUGUAACUGACGCUGAGGUUCGAAAGCGUGGGUAGCAAACAGG